rnacentral:rRNA from 1 species
GACGAACGCUGGCGGCGUGCUUAACACAUGCAAGUCGAACGGUGAUACGUUGGUAGCAAUAUUAGCGUAUCGCAGUGGCGGACGGGUGAGUAACGCGUGAGCGACCUGCCCAUAAGAGGGGGAUAACACCGGGAAACCGGUGCUAACACCGCAUAAGACCACAGUGCUGCAUGGCAUUGAGGUAAAAAGGGAAACCUGCUUAUGGAGGGGCUCGCGUCCCAUUAGCUAGUUGGCGGGGUAACGGCCCGCCAAGGCGAUGAUGGGUAGCCGACCUGAGAGGGUGAACGGCCACACUGGAACUGAGAUACGGUCCAGACUCCUACGGGAGGCAGCAGUGGGGAAUAUUGGGCAAUGGGCGAAAGCCUGACCCAGCAACGCCGCGUGAGGGAAGAAGGUUUUCGGAUUGUAAACCUCUGUCCUUGGGGACGAAAUUUUGACGGUACCCAAGGAGGAAGCCCCGGCUAACUACGUGCCAGCAGCCGCGGUAAUACGUAGGGGGCGAGCGUUGUCCGGAAUUACUGGGCGUAAAGGGUGCGUAGGCGGUUUUUUAAGUCAGAUGUGAAAUCCCCGGGCUUAACCCGGGUAUUGCAUUUGAAACUGGGAAGCUAGAGUGCAGGAGAGGGAAGCGGAAUUCCUAGUGUAGCGGUGAAAUGCGUAGAUAUUAGGAGGAACACCAGUGGCGAAGGCGGCUUUCUGGACUGCAACUGACGCUGAGGCACGAAAGCGUGGGUAGCAAACAGGAUUAGAUACCCUGGUAGUCCACGCCAUAAACGAUGGAUACUAGGUGUAGGGUACUUAAUAGUGCUCUGUGCCGCAGCAAACGCAAUAAGUAUCCCGCCUGGGGAGUACGGCCGCAAGGUUGAAACUCAAAGGAAUUGACGGGGGCCCGCACAAGCAGCGGAGCAUGUGGUUUAAUUCGAAGCAACGCGAAGAACCUUACCAGGGCUUGACAUCCCCUGACGAAUGCUGAAAGGCAUUUUCCCUUUUAGGGCAGGGAGACAGGUGGUGCAUGGUUGUCGUCAGCUCGUGUCGUGAGAUGUUGGGUUAAGUCCCGCAACGAGCGCAACCCCUAUAGUUAGUUGCCAGCAUGUAGAGAUGGGAACUCUAACUAGACUGCCGGGGAUAACUCGGAGGAAGGUGGGGACGACGUCAAAUCAUCAUGCCCCUUAUGUUCUGGGCUACACACGUGCUACAAUGGCCGGUACAGAGGGCAGCGAAGGAGCAAUCCGGAGCGAAUCUUUAGAAAGCCGGUCUCAGUUCGGAUUGUGGGCUGCAACCCGCCCACAUGAAGCCGGAGUUGCUAGUAAUCGCGAAUCAGCAUGUCGCGGUGAAUGCGUUCCCGGGCCUUGUACACACCGCCCGUCACACCAUGGGAGUUGGGAGCGCCCGAAGCCGAUGGCCUAACAGCAAUGGAGGAGUCGUCGAAGGCGAGAUCAAUGACUGGGGUG